rfam:Capsicum annuum cultivar Zunla-1 chromosome 11, whole genome shotgun sequence
UGAUGAUGGUGAGGGCAAUUUCUGAGCAUACUUUUAAAUCUCUCCCAUGCUUGGUAGAAAUUCUCUCCUUUUUUCUACUUGAAACAUAAAAUCUUGCUUCUCAAACG